rnacentral:rRNA from 1 species
UACGUAGGGUCCGAGCGUUGUCCGGAAUUAUUGGGCGUAAAGAGCUCGUAGGCGGUGUGUCGCGUCGGCCGUGAAAACCUGGGGCUCAACUCUGGGCGUGCGGUCGAUACGGGCAUCACUGGAGUUCGGCAGGGGAGACUGGAAUUCCUGGUGUAGCGGUGGAAUGCGCAGAUAUCAGGAGGAACACCGAUGGCGAAGGCAGAUCUCUGGGCCGUAACUGACGCUGAGGAGCGAAAGCAUGGGGAGCGAACAGG